UGGGUUAGGGAGUCUUCUUAUAGGCAGUAUGAACAAGGCCACCCUGGCUCAAGAGAGCAAAUGGGUUAGCCAGGCAAAUGUGAGCUGUAAUUUGCUAAUGACUCUUGACUGGGUUGUGGAGCAUUUUGUUUUCUAGUACAGAUGUGAUCCAAGAAGUUAAAUGCCAUCAAAAACUGGUAGAGUGCCUUCUUAUGAACCUGUUACCAGACCUGUGCAAAGGAUUUGAGCUGUUGGCAUGGGAGAAGGGCAGACAAGGGUUGACUGUGACUUCCCCAUGGCAGGCAAACUCUCAGCCUGUGAGUACGAGUGGAUCUUGGCUACCUUGUGCUAACUCCCGUGGACAGAACUGGGGUACAGAAUCUGGACCCCUUCAUAUCUUCAGCUUAUGGAUGAAAUCCACAUACUGAUGUCUAACCUGUAACAAAUGCCAAUUGUGCAGCUCUAGCAGGGAGCAGUGGAAUCAUGAAAAGCAUUAGGCCCUGAGCCUGCUAGUGCUCGUCUGCCAGCAGUCAACCGAGUUCAAGAUGACUCGCUCACAGACGUGAAGGGAAGAUUUUGAAAGUCAGUGGGACCAGAGCUCCCAGACUCUCAUUCUGUACUUUUGAAAAAUCUUCCCCGAAGUCAUGGGAACAACAGUUUGCAGGUCUCAGGCCUCUGCUUUCUUUUCCCUUUUUAAAAAAGCGCAUCAGACUAAAAAAAAAAACAAAACCACAAAACAGAACAAAACACUGAAGUCAGAAAGCCCGAGGAGCGGCUGGCAGGGAUGCGCUGGAUCUCCCUGCCGAGGCAGGGUCCGCGGAGCUCCCAGGGAAGGACUCUCCAGCAGAUACAAGUCAAGUGCAGACAGCGAGUGGCUCGGGCGGCACCGCAGCCUGCCUUUCCCCCGCUGCUUUCGGCAGCUCCCUAACCUCCAUAUCGGCUUCCCCAUCCCUGAGCGGGGCUGGGAGCACUACCCGGCCAUCAGGUUUUGA
rnacentral:lncRNA from 1 species